UGGGGAAUAUUGGGCAAUGGGCGCAAGCCUGACCCAGCAACGCCGCGUGAAGGAAGAAGGCUUUCGGGUUGUAAACUUCUUUUGUCAGGGACGAAGCAAGUGACGGUACCUGACGAAUAAGCCACGGCUAACUACGUGCCAGCAGCCGCGGUAAUACGUAGGUGGCAAGCGUUAUCCGGAUUUACUGGGUGUAAAGGGCGUGUAGGCGGGGAAGCAAGUCAGAUGUGAAAACCACGGGCUCAACCUGUGGCCUGCAUUUGAAACUGUUUUUCUUGAGUGCUGGAGAGGCAAUCGGAAUUCCGU
rnacentral:rRNA from 1 species